GCUGUUCCAGAAAAUAUGACUGCAUGCAGCAUCAACAGAAAGAUGAGAGUCCAGGGAGUCACAGAGACAUCCUUCAUGCCGAUGACUGUGAGGGAUAAAGGCUCAAGAAGGGUAGAGGUAGUGUGGGCAUUAAUUGCUUGGGAAUGUGCUGCCGUUCACCUGCGGCUUUUUCCAGGGCCCUGCAUCAUAACCCUCCUCUCAAAUAUUUUGCAAACAUAGAGAUCAAGCUUUCCCAGCAAUAACUUGGCAUGGGGUUGUGUUGUCCCCCCUCAUUCCCCUGCCUCAUACCUGGCAGCUCUGCCUUAUACCUGGAGGACCAAGAGCCCAGGGGGUAAAUGUCUAACCUGUGGUGGGGGAUUACUUCAGCCAACAAGCCUGGUAAUCUUGUGUUUUUAUGAACACUGAGCUCACCUUGGAUAUUAAAAAACAGAAAUGCAUUAGCUGGUAAGCGUGUUGGGUCUCUUCCAAGGCACACUAGCAUGUUGCUCUGCACACCGGCAUGGAAACAAUUUGCAGGCCAGAGAGCCAGUAAGCUUUCUCGCAAGGAGCUGUGCCACAUGCUCUUCUCUCCUUUUGCCUCCAGAGCUCUUUGUUCAACCUCUUUUGCUCCAGUUUCACCAUCUGAGCUUAAACGUGGCCUUCUGACAUGGAGAAUCUGUGUGAGUAGAGCCACAUUAGUUGUAAAAUCCCUAGCCAAUCUUAUUUUUUGGCAUGAAGGUGGCUGUUACGGCAUUGUUUGUAUUAUUCAUCAAAAGGAAACUUUCAAAGUAAAUACAUGAAAUACCACAUAGCAUAAGCUCUUCCCAACCACCGCUUCCUCUCCCUUUUUCUUUUUCCCUACCUCCUAUUUUUAUAAGUAAUCAAAUUGUUACUCUAGAGUCAAUUUCAGGUCAUCUUUCAUUUGCUCAAAGUAUAUCCUUAUUGGCAAGUAUUUUACCAUUAUUCAGGAACACACAUAUUGUUUUACUUACAGCUGUGUGCUGUAUUUUAUGUUCUCAUAUAAAUGUUAUGCCUGGAUUAUCAUAACUGGAGCAAACUGGUUUUAGGGUUUGUUGUUGUUGUUAUUUUUAGAUUCCUUCCCCCCCCUCCAAAACAGGAGAGAAGUAUUAUUAUAUCUAUUUUUUGGUAUCUUUUGUAGUUCUUAAAGUGACUCAACUUUUCACAUUUCUCUAAUUUCUCAUUUCUGUUUCUCUCUGAUAACGCAGAUACCCCUCUGCUGUGCGAGAUUCCCUAGUUUGGGGAAUGAUGAUAGCUGAGUUUUGGGAGAGGUUAUGGGGCAGGCAGCAUCGUUUUUAUCCAAUGAGGGGCAGGAAAGAAGACAAGGCAGGGACAGACUCCAGAAAUUCAUUACCUGCUGUGUAAAAAAAGUAUUUUUUGUUACCUGUUUUAAACUGUUGCUAGUUUCAAAGAGUGUCCCUGCUUCUAGUGCUGCAGGAUCUGGUGAUAUCUGGUGAGUUCUGCAUUCACUUACUGUUCUCUUGAUUUUGGGAGAUGAUCAAAUAGAAGCUCAUAUUUAUGUACUGAGGGCCCAGAGAGGGAAAACACCUAAAUCCUAUUGGCUUCAGCAUGUUCUUAAAUAUUUACUCAAGCGAUUAACUUACUUGAGGUCUUGAUGCAAAAGAAUGCAUUUGUAGCAACAAAUACAUAUUGUUAUUAUUAAUCUUAUCACUGUUUUUCAUGCCUGUGCGUGCUAAUGCUUGAUGCACUACAGAGACAUACAGCAUGCACAAGAGAUGGAUUUUCCUCUAUACGGAUGGCAAAAGACAAAAGAAUUUUCCCCUCAUUUUUUUGAUGUCUGGGACACACGAAGACCACUGGAGAAAAGUGUGCUGCUGAAUUCUCUGCAUCCUCAUGGUUUUUGGUUUUCUUUGGUAUGGUCUUCUAAUGCAGAAAGGCACGGUUCUACAUCCUGUCUCCCCCAUGAGAGAGGAGACAGAAGAAUCUGUAGCUGAAUGGUUUCUCUAGCAGCUUACUGGCUUGAACUUCAGGAUGAGCGUCAAGCAAAAUGCCAGAGAGAAUGAUGUUGACUGGGACAUGUUUAUGUGACCCUUCUUUUCCCCAGACUAAUUUAGUUAUGCCUUGCUCUGCAGCAGUUCAUAAGUUGUUUUUGUAAGAGUAGGGGAUCCCAGAGAGACCAGGUUUUCUCUCUGCCCACCUUGCCCUAUUCACCUUCCACAUUGCCUCAGGAGCAUUUACUGCUGUGCCAAUUACAGCUGUGAUGGGGGCUGUCUUUGCUGGAUGUUGAUAUCGGAACAAACAAACCAAGAGUCUGGUCUUGAUUGCUGGUGUCUCUACAGUUUGGUUUCCUGUGGCGUGUUUGUACAGAUGUAAUGGUUGGUAUUCCCUUGCUUUUAAAUAAUCACGACCAUACUUAGGGGUGGGAGGACAGGACUAAUUUGUUGGGAUUUUGCUGCAGGAUCCCCCACCCUGCUCAUGUGGCUUAGCUUCUGUUCAAGCCUUGCUGCCUAACCUACUGCUUAGGGUGGUGACUUCUGUUUCCAUCUGUCCACUCUCAGAAAGGGCUUGUGAGUUCUCUCAGCCCAGGACAGCUGUCAUUAGACCAGCUAUUGCCAUGUACUCACAUCUUGUCUGCAGAUUGAAUGAACAAUGAGCGGCACACAGAAAAUGUCUCCAAGGACAAGGAGGAUGCACAGAGCAUGAAUAAAUGACCACCUCAGUGGGCCCUUUGUACAGGAGGGUGUGUGUCUCACUUCUUGCAGCCAAAGAAAGGUUCUUUUUUGCUUCUUUGUAUCCUGCUGACCACUUACUUGCUGCUCUAUUUGUCCAGAGUCAUUGCCCCCUCUGAGCCGCACCUGAGGAGCAGUGAACAAGCAGCUCCUAGUCAAAGGAUGUCGAAAGACAGAUUUGAGUUCUUUUCUCACCCAGCUGUGGGCUUGGUCAUAGCCACUGAUUUGGGUCACACCUUUGAUCCCUGCUAGACCUAACCGCCUGAGCUAUGUAAAGCAAGCUCCUUUGCAGUCAUAUGAUGCAGUGAGUUCCUCUCUCACUCCAUCCUUUCUACCCCAGGACAUGCCUUCACUCUUAUUUGAAGCUCUUUUCCCCUACACGUUUGACAUAUUUGGGGGUGGAGUUGGGAGCCUUUAAAUCCUUAAGUGUUUCAUAGGCAGCAGGACUGGAAGAGCAGUUUGCUCCAAGCAGAGCUCCCCCUCAGACUACUCGUAUCAUAUCCAAAUGUCAGUGGAGAGAAAAAAAAAAAAAGAAGGCUAAUUGUAUGCUUUCCAAUUUUCUUUAUUAGGAAGAUCAAAAGAAUUGCUGCCUUUACUGGUAAAUCUCAAGGAUGAAUUGUGGCAGCCAGACCAGUACUAGUCUGUGUUGAACUGUAGUCACCCAGAAUAAAUCAGCAUUAAUUGCAGUCUAGGGCUGUGAUUCCAGAGGGGCUGCUUAAGCACCACACAGUGACCCCGACUGCCCGGCUGUUAAAGCCAGUGGCAAAACUCCCAGGGAUCUGAGGAAGUGCAUGGCUGAGGUUGCAUCCUUGCCUUCUUUAAAGCCAAAUAUCUUGUUACCUCUCUGAGCAUCAUACGACGAUGUGGUGAGCACUGCAAUACCACCUUUGGCAGUACACAGCUGCCCCAGAGUUGUGGGAUCCAGAGGAAAGGCAAUACCUUGACUUUCUGGCCACAGGAAACCUGUACAAAGUUGUUCUGGUGGCCUUGGAGAAGAUGGGGUGGCUGCUGGUUCAGAUUCUUGUCCUUUCCUAGCUUUACCCAUAGCAAGAUCUGUCACUCACUGCAACAGGGGACAUUUCCUGGCCCCACAGCUGGCUAUGGCACCAGCCAGACUGAACAUUUCCAUCACAGCCAAGCAAAUUGUUCUUCUGUUGCUCUCACCUGAGAUGAUUUCUCUUCUUCUUCUAUGCCUCCCUUCAGAGGUGGCAUAUACUGCUAUAUGAGUGAUCGUAUGUUAUUGUGGCUGUCAUGUUUGUGACAGGAAUGCAGAAGGAUCAGCAAAACAUGAUGUCCACAAUGCAGAAAGAUUUCUACUAUGUAAAAUUUUGUUGUAAUUCUCACUAAACCUAUCUUUGAAACUAAUGCAGCUUUAAAUAUAAAUGAAGUAUAUAUAUAUAUCAAUUCAAGAUUUUCCUCAUAAAAGACAGGCAGGAAAAGGAAUUCAAGUAAGUUUGAAAGCAUUACUAGCUUGAGGAUUUGAGUGCCAAACAAUUUUGAAGAAAAUUUGCUUACUGCUAUAAAGGGAGUAACAUUUUCUUCAGUAAACCAAGGGAAAGAUUGAGAAAAGCAUUGGUGGAAUGGCAGAAUCAUGGUCUGCCAGAAAGCAAAGGAGACAGGCCACCUUCCUGCCACUUGCUCAUGGAGAAGUCCUGGUAUCUUUCCCCUUACGUUAAUAUAAGUGGUUGGAAAGCUGAGUAAGCAGGGUGCCUGGAUAGGGCGAGAGGUGGGGGGCAGCAGGGCAGGAGUAAGCUGCAAGUGGGUGCUUUCUGUUGAGAGCUGUGAGGAGUGAUGGCCAGAGCUGCACUGCCUCUUCCCAGGACCUGUGCAAGGACCAGAUGAUGCCUCCUGCAAAACGGGACAGCAGCACGGGGCCAGGCUUUGCCAUUGCAAGCUGAAGGCUUGGCAGUGGGUGUCACUUGCUCUGUUAUUAAAAGAAAUUAAAAGCAACCCUUGGACAGCUGUUAAAUAUGAUGCUGAGAAGCUGACAUCGAUUGCUCCUGUACUUGACCCCUUCAGAGCAAUUUAUAAACACUGGCUGACUAAUCCUCCCCAAGCAGCCAGGGGAAGGAGCAGGCAGGAAUUUUCCCUCCUCUCUCACACCUCCAUUUUGUAAGAGGAAAUGGGAAGUAAGAUGCUGCACCCAUUAUCUCCACAUGACAGAAGCCAGGAGUGGGCCUGGCUGUGUCCAUCUAAUGCCACGUGAGAUGGGAUGGGGCACAUUGACCAAGUGGGGCACCAGUGAGGACCAUGGCCUUGGCUCAGGAGGGAGAUUUAUAAGUAGCACACCACAUUGCUGUUCUUUUUAUAUACAAUCGGAAAUGUCUUGAAGCCAGAUGCUCAGCUGGUGUAAAUCAGUGGAGCACCGCAGAUUUAUACCAGCUGGAGAACUGGACCCAGUGCCCCAGUGGGAAGGGGAUGGGGGAAAGGGAGAGAGAGACUGUUUCUUAACCACUCCACCAACCUUCCUUCUGGGUAAAUAUCUCCAUAUGUUAACAAAUGUUAAUUAAAACCAAAAGCACAGAAGAGCUCUCAGGAUGCGUGUGUAACAGGAGCACCCCAGGAUCCUGCGCUCCUGUAAUCUUUUGCCUCCCACUGGAUCUCACCUUUUAUUUGGUGUUGCACCUCCCUGACUGAUAUUUAACCUUGCUCCUGGUGCUCUUUGUUGGAGUUUUGCCAUGCAUACGAUAUUGCUCUGAUGGGUGUAGGCCUAGUGUCUACGGAUACCUGGGAGCAACCCCAGAUGUUUCACCGGUCAAGGGGGGAAAUAUGUUUUGUUGCAGUGUGCCUUACAGUCAUGUAACUGUGCUCAUCAAUCAGGAACUUUAUGGGAAGGGACUCUGGAAAUGCCACUUCUCCUUUGGCCUCCAGGUGAUCACUGCCUUAUCUGUGGACUGGGAUAGCUCUGAAUAUGAUUGUUUCUGGGGGACAAAGGCAUUAUGCUUUAAAAAAAAAAAAAAAGGCAUGAAUACCUGUGGUUCUCUAUAGGUAAUAAUAAAUAAGCACAAGUUUGCCCUUGAGGUGAAAAGAAAGUUUCAGAAGUGGAUAUUCAAAAUAUCUGUACAAGGGCUAGAUUAUCUCCCGGGAAGCUGUGCCUUGGAGCUGUCAGGCUGGUAUUAGAAUGACAUUUUCAAAGUGAUGGAUAGUACUUAGUAUCUGAAUCUUGCACUGCCAGUAAUGGUAGUUGCACUGUUGUGAAGAUGCAGGGGUAACCAUAUUACAUAUUCACAGCUCAUCAUUUCAUGGCCAAAACUUUUUUUUGGAAAAUUCAAGUAUGCACGAUGUGUUUUCACAGAGACUCUAGCACUUUGCAAGGGGGUUCAUGCAUUGAUUAGAGAUCACUGAUGUCCUCAAAGCCUAAUAUUAAAAUAUUUAAUUAUUUUAAAUUGUCAUUACUUGCAUUUGAUAGAGCUGGUUUAUGUGUUUGUAUUAGAAAUAGACCCAAGAGAAUUGCAACAGAUUAUGAUGGCAAUGUAACAGAGGUACAUGUGCCCAAAUACAGCAAACAGCCUCUCUUUAUUUCUCAGUAAAAGCAUGUUCCUGCUGUCCUUAAGUUGGUGGCAAGAAUCCUGUUGACUUGUUGUAGAUCGUAAGUUGGUUCAAAAUACUAUUUCACAACCCCAUCAAGUCAGUUUAAUAUUUUUGUAGUAGUAGAAAGGUGGUAUAUGCAAGAAAACAGGGAUGAGUUGUAAAGCACCAGUCUAGCAUUUGGGCUGUAUGCAGAAUUAAUGGCAUGUAGGUACCC